UGCGCAGGCGGCGCGGUAAGUCGGGUGUGAAAUCUUGGAGCUUAACUCCGAAACUGCAUUCGAUACUGCCGUGCUUGAGGACUGGAAAGGAGACUGGAAUUUACGGUGUAGCGGUGAAAUGCGUAGAUAUCGUAAGGAAGACCAGUGGCGAAGGCGGGUCUCUGGACAGUUCCUGACGCUGAGGCACGAAGGUCAGGGGAGCAAACG
rnacentral:rRNA from 1 species